rnacentral:pre_miRNA from 1 species
CUAAAUGAGAUGUAAUCAGUCGAAACAUUUGCCUAAGUUUUCCACUAGGGACGCUGUUCCAUCUGCAUACAAAUUUGAGUUA